GGUUAAGCGACUAAGCGUACACGGUGGAUGCCCUGGCAGUCAGAGGCGAUGAAGGACGUGCUAAUCUGCGAUAAGCGUCGGUAAGGUGAUAUGAACCGUUAUAACCGGCGAUUUCCGAAUGGGGAAACCCAGUGUGUUUCGACACACUAUCAUUAACUGAAUCCAUAGGUUAAUGAGGCGAACCGGGGGAACUGAAACAUCUAAGUACCCCGAGGAAAAGAAAUCAACCGAGAUUCCCCCAGUAGCGGCGAGCGAACGGGGAGCAGCCCAGAGCCUGAAUCAGUGUGUGUGUUAGUGGAAGCGUCUGGAAAGGCGCGCGAUACAGGGUGACAGCCCCGUACACAAAAAUGCACAUGCUGUGAGCUCGAUGAGUAGGGCGGGACACGUGGUAUCCUGUCUGAAUAUGGGGGGACCAUCCUCCAAGGCUAAAUACUCCUGACUGACCGAUAGUGAACCAGUACCGUGAGGGAAAGGCGAAAAGAACCCCGGCGAGGGGAGUGAAAAAGAACCUGAAACCGUGUACGUACAAGCAGUGGGAGCACGCUUAGGCGUGUGACUGCGUACCUUUUGUAUAAUGGGUCAGCGACUUAUAUUCUGUAGCAAGGUUAACCGAAUAGGGGAGCCGAAGGGAAACCGAGUCUUAACUGGGCGUUAAGUUGCAGGGUAUAGACCCGAAACCCGGUGAUCUAGCCAUGGGCAGGUUGAAGGUUGGGUAACACUAACUGGAGGACCGAACCGACUAAUGUUGAAAAAUUAGCGGAUGACUUGUGGCUGGGGGUGAAAGGCCAAUCAAACCGGGAGAUAGCUGGUUCUCCCCGAAAGCUAUUUAGGUAGCGCCUCGUGAAUUCAUCUCCGGGGGUAGAGCACUGUUUCGGCAAGGGGGUCAUCCCGACUUACCAACCCGAUGCAAACUGCGAAUACCGGAGAAUGUUAUCACGGGAGACACACGGCGGGUGCUAACGUCCGUCGUGAAGAGGGAAACAACCCAGACCGCCAGCUAAGGUCCCAAAGUCAUGGUUAAGUGGGAAACGAUGUGGGAAGGCCCAGACAGCCAGGAUGUUGGCUUAGAAGCAGCCAUCAUUUAAAGAAAGCGUAAUAGCUCACUGGUCGAGUCGGCCUGCGCGGAAGAUGUAACGGGGCUAAACCAUGCACCGAAGCUGCGGCAGCGACGCUGAUGCGUUGUUGGGUAGGGGAGCGUUCUGUAAGCCUGCGAAGGUGUGCUGUGAGGCAUGCUGGAGGUAUCAGAAGUGCGAAUGCUGACAUAAGUAACGAUAAAGCGGGUGAAAAGCCCGCUCGCCGGAAGACCAAGGGUUCCUGUCCAACGUUAAUCGGGGCAGGGUGAGUCGACCCCUAAGGCGAGGCCGAAAGGCGUAGUCGAUGGGAAACAGGUUAAUAUUCCUGUACUUGGUGUUACUGCGAAGGGGGGACGGAGAAGGCUAUGUUGGCCGGGCGACGGUUGUCCCGGUUUAAGCGUGUAGGCUGGUUUUCCAGGCAAAUCCGGAAAAUCAAGGCUGAGGCGUGAUGACGAGGCACUACGGUGCUGAAGCAACAAAUGCCCUGCUUCCAGGAAAAGCCUCUAAGCAUCAGGUAACAUCAAAUCGUACCCCAAACCGACACAGGUGGUCAGGUAGAGAAUACCAAGGCGCUUGAGAGAACUCGGGUGAAGGAACUAGGCAAAAUGGUGCCGUAACUUCGGGAGAAGGCACGCUGAUAUGUAGGUGAAGUCCCUCGCGGAUGGAGCUGAAAUCAGUCGAAGAUACCAGCUGGCUGCAACUGUUUAUUAAAAACACAGCACUGUGCAAACACGAAAGUGGACGUAUACGGUGUGACGCCUGCCCGGUGCCGGAAGGUUAAUUGAUGGGGUUAGCCGCAAGGCGAAGCUCUUGAUCGAAGCCCCGGUAAACGGCGGCCGUAACUAUAACGGUCCUAAGGUAGCGAAAUUCCUUGUCGGGUAAGUUCCGACCUGCACGAAUGGCGUAAUGAUGGCCAGGCUGUCUCCACCCGAGACUCAGUGAAAUUGAACUCGCUGUGAAGAUGCAGUGUACCCGCGGCAAGACGGAAAGACCCCGUGAACCUUUACUAUAGCUUGACACUGAACAUUGAGCCUUGAUGUGUAGGAUAGGUGGGAGGCUUAGAAGUGUGGACGCCAGUCUGCAUGGAGCCGACCUUGAAAUACCACCCUUUAAUGUUUGAUGUUCUAACGUUGACCCGUAAUCCGGGUUGCGGACAGUGUCUGGUGGGUAGUUUGACUGGGGCGGUCUCCUCCUAAAGAGUAACGGAGGAGCACGAAGGUUGGCUAAUCCUGGUCGGACAUCAGGAGGUUAGUGCAAUGGCAUAAGCCAGCUUGACUGCGAGCGUGACGGCGCGAGCAGGUGCGAAAGCAGGUCAUAGUGAUCCGGUGGUUCUGAAUGGAAGGGCCAUCGCUCAACGGAUAAAAGGUACUCCGGGGAUAACAGGCUGAUACCGCCCAAGAGUUCAUAUCGACGGCGGUGUUUGGCACCUCGAUGUCGGCUCAUCACAUCCUGGGGCUGAAGUAGGUCCCAAGGGUAUGGCUGUUCGCCAUUUAAAGUGGUACGCGAGCUGGGUUUAGAACGUCGUGAGACAGUUCGGUCCCUAUCUGCCGUGGGCGCUGGAGAACUGAGGGGGGCUGCUCCUAGUACGAGAGGACCGGAGUGGACGCAUCACUGGUGUUCGGGUUGUCAUGCCAAUGGCACUGCCCGGUAGCUAAAUGCGGAAGAGAUAAGUGCUGAAAGCAUCUAAGCACGAAACUUGCCCCGAGAUGAGUUCUCCCUGACUCCUUGAGAGUCCUGAAGGAACGUUGAAGACGACGACGUUGAUAGGCCGGGUGUGUAAGCGCAGCGAUGCGUUGAGCUAACCGGUACUAAUGAACCGUGAGGCUUAACCUUAC
rnacentral:rRNA from 1 species